rnacentral:rRNA from 1 species
UCGCACCUACCGAUUGAAUGGUCCGGUGAGGCCUCGGGAUUGUGGCAAACUUUCUUCAUUGGAGGUGAGCCAUGAGAACUUGUCCAAAUCUUAUCAUUUAGAGGAAGGUG